rnacentral:rRNA from 1 species
GAGUUUGAUCAUGGCUCAGAAUCAACGCUGGCGGCGUGCCUAACACAUGCAAGUCGAACGCGAAAGUGGAGCAAUCCAUGAGUAGAGUGGCAAACGGGUGAGUAACACGUGGGUGACCUGCCUUCGAGUGGGGGAUAACGUCCCGAAAGGGACGCUAAUACCGCAUAAUAUGCUGUUCUUUAAUAGAUGGACAUCAAAGCUGGGGACCGUAAGGCCUGGCGCUUGAAGAGGGGCCCGCGCCUGAUUAGCUAGUUGGUGGGGUAAUGGCUCACCAAGGCAACGAUCAGUAUCCGGCCUGAGAGGGCGGACGGACACACUGGGACUGAGACACGGCCCAGACUCCUACGGGAGGCAGCAGUGGGGAAUUGUUCGCAAUGGGCGCAAGCCUGACGACGCAACGCCGCGUGGAGGAUGAAGACCUUCGGGUCGUAAACUCCUUUCGAUCGAGACGAACGGCCCAUGGGUUAAUAACUCGUGGGAGUGACGGUACCGAGAGAAGAAGCCCCGGCUAACUCCGUGCCAGCAGCCGCGGUAAUACGGGGGGGGCAAGCGUUGUUCGGAAUUACUGGGCGUAAAGGGCUCGUAGGCGGCUAACUAAGUCAGACGUGAAAUCCCUCGGCUUAACCGGGGAACUGCGUCUGAUACUGGAUGGCUUGAGUUCGGGAGAGGGAUGCGGAAUUCCAGGUGUAGCGGUGAAAUGCGUAGAUAUCUGGAGGAACACCGGUGGCGAAGGCGGCAUCCUGGACCGAUACUGACGCUGAG